UCUCCGUUGGUGAACAAGCGGAGGGCUCAUUACAGAGUUAUCUAACUCCCAAACCCAUGUUAACUUACCAUUUGUUGCCUCGGCAGAGCCUACCCGGUAACUGUUCGGAGAAGCUACCCUGUAGCUGCCCUGUAACGGCCUACCCUGUAACGCACUGCCGGUGGACUUUUAAACUCUUGUUAUUUUAUAGUAAUCUGAGCGUCGUAUUUUAAUAAGUCAAAACUUUCAACAACGGAUCUCUUGGUUCUGGCAUCGAUGAAGAACGCAGC
rnacentral:misc_RNA from 1 species